rnacentral:rRNA from 1 species
GAUGAACGCUGGCGGCGUGCCUAACACAUGCAAGUCGAACGGAAAGGCCCAAGCUUGCUUGGGUUCUCGAGUGGCGAACGGGUGAGUAACACGUGGGUGAACUGCCCUUCACUUCGGGAUAAGCCUGGGAAACUGGGUCUAUUACCGGAUAGGACGAUGGUUUGGAUGCCAUUGUGGAAAGUUUUUCCGGUGUGGGAUGAGCUCGCGGCCUAUCAGCUUGUUGGUGGGGUAAUGGCCUACCAAGGCGUCGACGAGUAGCCGGCCGGAGAGGGUGAACGGCCAUGAGGGAGUGGAGACACGGAUCAGAAUCCUACGGGAGGCAGCAGUAGGGAAUGUGGCACCAAGGGCGAAUGUCGGACGGAGGAAGGCCGCGUGAGGGAGGAAGGCCGUGGGGGGGUAGAACUCUUUUGGGAGGUAAGAACCAAUGGGUAGGGAAGAAGCGUUGUUGUGACGGUACCUGAAGAAAAAGCACCGGCUAACUACGUG